rnacentral:rRNA from 1 species
AGCGAACGCUGGCGGCAGGCUUAACACAUGCAAGUCGAGCGGGCAUAGCAAUAUGUCAGCGGCAGACGGGUGAGUAACGCGUGGGAACGUACCUUUUGGUUCGGAACAACACAGCGAAACUUGUGCUAAUACCGGAUAAGCCCUUACGGGGAAAGAUUCAUCGCCGAAAGAUCGGCCCGCGUCUGAUUAGCUAGUUGGGUAGGUGAUGGCUCACCAAGGCGACGAUCAUUAGCUGGUCUGAGAGGAUGAUCAGCCAAAUUGGGACUUAGACACGGCACAAACUCCUACGGGAGGCAGCAGUGGGUAAUAUUGGACAAUGGGCGCAAGCCUGAUCCAGCCAUGCCGCGUGAGUGAUGAAGGCCCUAGGGUUGUAAAGCUCUUUUGUGCGGGAAGAUAAUUACGGUACCGCAAGAAUAAGCCCCGGCUAACUUCGUGCCAGCCGCCGCCGUAACAC